rnacentral:rRNA from 1 species
AGAGUUUGAUCCUGGCUCAGGACGAACGCUGGCGGCGUGCCUAAUACAUGCAAGUAGGACGCACAGUUUAUACCGUAGCUUGCUACACCAUAGACUGUGAGUUGCGAACGGGUGAGUAACGCGUAGGUAACCUACCUAUUAGAGGGGGAUAACAUUCGGAAACGGAUGCUAAAACCGCAUAGGUCUUCGAACCGCAUGGUUUGAAGAGGAAAAGAGGCGCAAGCUUCUGCUGAUGGAUGGACCCGCGGUGCAUUAACUAGUUGGUGAGGUAACGGCUCACCAAGGCCGUGAUGCAUAGCCGACCUGAGAGGGUGAUCGGCCACAUUGGGACUGAGACACGGCCCAAACUCCUACGGGAGGCAGCAGUAGGGAAUCUUCCGCAAUGGACGCAAGUCUGACGGAGCAACGCCGCGUGAGUGAAGAAGGUUUUCGGAUCGUAAAACUCUGUUGUUAGAGAAGAACAAGUGCUAGAGUAACUGUUAGCGCCUUGACGGUAUCUAACCAGAAAGCCACGGCUAACUACGUGCCAGCAGCCGCGGU